GAGGAAUUAGUUUAAUUUUAAAACAUUAACUUGUCAAGUUAAAAAUAUUAAUUUUUAAUAUUCCUUA
rnacentral:tRNA from 1 species